GUGUUUGGUUCACCAGAACAGGGGAAACAAGGGCAAACCCCUUGUUCUUGCAAAAUUCAUCAAAUUGACAAGGGAAAUCGAAGUUAAUCAGUUGCGUGCCUUCAAUUUUUCGAUUUUCUUAACAUACUCGGUAGAGUGGCGUGAAGGAAGAAAGCUCAAGUGCUAGGAAAUAGGAAAACGCACAAGACCGAGGUAAAUCUGCAACUUAGAUGCGAUGGCGAACUUGGAACGAACACACUCAACUCAUGCCCACUUAGCGCUUCCGAAGAUGUUUAGUUUUGUAUGGUUCUAGUUUUUGGUAAAAUGCAUUUUCAACAUGUGUGGUCUUAGUUGUCCUUACAUUUUGGCAAAAACUUAGUUCGUAUGACAAUUUGUAUCUAGAUCUUUUAAACUUGUCCGUUUUUUGUUUUGAAAAUGGUUGUGUAUGU